AUACAAAUCAAACAGACAGAGUAAUAGAAGGUUGAAGAUUGAUAUAGU
rnacentral:guide_RNA from 1 species